rnacentral:rRNA from 1 species
UACGGAAGGCAGCAGUGGGGAAUAUUGCACAAUGGGCGAAAGCCUGAUGCAGCUAUGCCGCGUGUAUGAAGAAGGCCUUAGGGUUGUAAAGUACUUUCAUCGGGGAGGAAAAAACAAAACUAAUAAUUUUAUUUCUUGACGUUACCCGAAAAAGAAGCACCGGCUAACUCCGUGCCAGCAGCCGCGGUAAUACGGAGGGUGCUAGCGUUAAUCAGAAUUACUGGGCGUAAAGAGCACGUAGGUGGUUUUUUUAAGUCAGAUGUGAAUCCCUGGGCUUAACCUGGAACUGCAUUUUGAAACUGAAAUACUAGAGUAUCGUAGAGGGAGGUAGAAUUCUAGGUGUAGCGGUGAAAUGCGUAGAUAUCUGGAGGAAUACCUGUGGCGAAAGCGGCCUCCUAAACGAAUACUGACACUGAGGUGCGAAAGCGUGGGGAGCAAACAGGGAUUAGAUACCCGU